UUCAGAUGGAACGUGUUAAUUUUUAUCUUCUGGACUUGCACUAACUACUUUGUUAAAAGAUAUGUAUUUGUUAAACUUGUGAUAAGACCAUAUGGUUUAUUUUUUACAAUUCAAGAUUGUAUUGGUGCAUCCAUCAUAUGGCCCUAUCCAUUCAUCUCGGUAGUCCAUGAGGAUUGAGGACGCAUGAUGACUCAAGAUUUUAUGCUUUUUAUUUCUUUAAUUGCUUUUAAUUUCUUUGUUAAAUGUUAAGACUUUAUGUUAGAUAAUGUUAUAACCUAUUUAUAGUUAGUGGUUUUGUUAUGAACAUGCUUAUUUGAAAUAUAAUGAAGUUUUAUUUA